GGCUGGAGCAUCAUCCCCCCCAGUGCCGCUGGGUCGGCCAGAGCACGUGGUGGGGAUCGAAACCGGGCGCAAAAAGCAGAAAUCCCCAUCUUGUUCAAGCUCAUGCAGGUACCUGCGUUGUCCAGGCACAAGCCCUCGCCGAAUUUUAAUCAGACUAAUACGAAUAUGGCUAAUGCGGUGUGAUUCCAACUUUUAACAACAAAAAAAAAAAAACAACCAAGCUCGGUCAUCCCCGAAUACACAAAAUGUAUAGAAUUUACUAGCGGUUUUUUUUUCCUUGUUUUGUGUGCUCUCUAUUUUGCUCUCUCUUUUUUUUUUUUGGUCGGGUUUGUUUUGUUUUUUGCAGCACAGCCAC
rnacentral:sRNA from 1 species